GUCCUCUAUUCUUGGCGCUCUGAUAGUUAAUGCCAAUUAUCAGAAGUGUAUGCGUAUUUAUGGAGGUAGAGCAUGUUGUUCCAAGUGGCGCAAUCGUCGAAUCUUCUUCGGUGUCAGGUGCAUAUACUAUCCUGAUAUCAUCCUCUGGAUUCGAAACACAC
rnacentral:snoRNA from 1 species